rnacentral:lncRNA from 1 species
AGGGUCUACGAGGUGUAAGAUUUAUACCUGUAUAUAGAUGUGUGGGUAAUAUUUUCCUAUCAAGAUUGAGAUGGGGCUGUGAACGAGCUGAACAUGAGCUAGCUGGGCCAGCUCGUAGUCAUUUGUUUAUUAAACGAGCCAAACACAAAUUGGCUUGUUAAAAUAUCAAGCUGAAAAAUUCAGUUCUUGUUUUGCUCGUUUAUUAAUAAGCCAAACAUGAGCUGGUUUGUGAACAAUAAGUUAGAUUACCAGCGCUGCUAUUGGGUAAAAAGUUGAAAAAAAUUAAAAAAAUUAAAAUUUUAGAAUCUAAAAGUCGGAGGAUCCAUUGUCAAAAACAAAUCAAUCGCAAUAAAAUUCAUUUGCUACUAAUAGUAUUCUAACCCAUUUCUUUCUAUUCUCUCUCUCUCUCUCUCUCUCUCUCUCUCUCUCUCUCUCUCUCUCUCUCUCUAUAUAUAUAUAUAUAUAUAUAUAUAUAGAGUUGAGCUAUGAUACUUUUACAAGUAUCACCAUCAUGGUGCUAUUAGGUUUUAAGCCAUUGGAUCUACUUUUUGAUUGUUAAUAGCCCUUGGAUUAAACACUAUUCCAACUACCACCACCUACCACCAUCAUCUCAACCUCACAUCUCUCCAUCCAAGGGCUAAAAACACACAAGUAUCACUCCCAUGAUACUUUUACAAGUAUUCUAGCCCUACUAUAUAUAUAUAUNNNNNNNNNNNNNNNNNNNNAUAUAUAUAUAUAUAUAGAAUUAGGCUACUAUACUAUCUAUAGUACAGGAGCUCCGGUACUAUAGGUUUGUUUUCAAUCUUAGGGUGUUCAAAUUAAUGAUCCACAUAGUUAAAUAUGAUCUAGGGUAUAUGAAGUUCUUAGAAAUAAAAUUUU